rnacentral:lncRNA from 1 species
GUUUUAGAAGAUGUGAUGCAUUGGCCUCCCCCUGCAGGAGUUGGGAACGCGCAGAUUCCGCGAAUCACAGUUUUCAGAUAUGGCUGAAAUUGAUAACCCAAGUGAGCAGCUCAGGGAUCAGGACCUGAGGUUUUCAGCACAAACGACAAGAGGUUCAAGUAGAAAAGCAGAAGCGGAACAUGCAAUAUGCAGCCCGUGCCUGGCUUCCCUCACUCAGCUUGACGAAAUCACAGAACAGAUUGUUCUCAAGGAGGCCCCCGUGGUGUUUUCCGGAGCUCCUCUGCCAGGUCUCCAGUUGCGGCAGGGUCCACGUCGCCCCUCCCCUUGGCUCUGGGUUGGCCUUGUCACCAACGUAGGUGGUGGGGCCACAUGGUGCCACCUGCUCCCUCUGCACACCUCUGGGCCCACCAGGUCCUAGUGGGCUGGCAUCUGCUGCGGGGGCUCUGGUGUGGGUGGAAACACUGGGUCCCCCCAGGCUCCUCCUCAUCCCCUGCUCCCAACUUCUUCCUCCAUCCCCCAACAGCCCUCAGAGCUCAAGGGAGGGGGCAUUGACAAAGGGUCUCCACCAGCCUGGUCCUCUUAGCUUUUCUGGUCUAUGAGCUCAGGCAAAAUGGCCAGGCAGGCCCCAGGCCACCUCAGCCCAGCUUAGCCCAGUCCACUCUAGCUUAGUUCAGCCUAGCCCAGUGCAACCCUGUUCACCUCAGUCCAGCCCAGCCAAGCUCA